rnacentral:rRNA from 1 species
CUGAUAAAUUAAAUGGCCGCAGUAUUCUAACUGUGCAAAGGUAGCAUAAUCAUUAGUUUUUUAAUUGAAAGCUUGUAUGAAUGAUUGGACGAGAUAUUAGCUGUCUCAUUAAAAUUAUUUGAAUUUUAUUUUUUAGUUAAAAAGCUAAAAUUUAUUUAAAAGACGAGAAGACCCUAUAGAUCUUUAUAAUUAAAAUUUUUUAUACUUUUUUAGUUUAUUUAUUUUAUAAAAAAUUAAAUUAUUUUGUUGGGGUGACAAUGAAAUUUAUUAAACUUUUGUUAUUUAAAAACCAUAAAUUAAUGAAUUAUUGAUCCUUUAUUAAAGAUUAAAAAUUUAAGUUACCUUAGGGAUAACAGCGUAAUUAUUUUGGAGAGUUCAUAUCAAUAAAAUAGAUUGCGACCUCGAUGUUGGAUUAAGAUUAAUUUUUGGUGCAGAAGCUAAAAAUAUUAAGUCUGUUCGACUUUUAAUUUCUUACAUGAUC